AAAAAAAUACCAACCUUAAUCAUUUGUAUAAUUAAUUAGUUAUGCGUGUAAAUCACAAGGAGUGAAAAUUCUGUAAAAUCACCAACAAACUACUCACAGUUUGAUUCUGCUGUAUAGACGGAUUGCUCCCAGUGUCUCCCUGUCUCCCAGUGUCUCAGUCUCGCAAGUCACCCAGUGUCUCAGUGUCCCUAUGUAUCACAGUGUCAGUGUCCCCAUGUCACCCAGUCCCCUAGUCUCCCAGUGUCUGUGUCCCCAUUUCUCCCAGUGUCCCAAUGUCUCAGUGUGUCCCCAUGUCACUAGGAUACUGGGGACACUGAGAGACAUGGGGACACUGAGAGACCCGGGGACACAGAGACAUGGGGACACUGGGAGACAUGGGGACACUGAGACAUUUAGGGAAACUGGGAGAAAUGGGGACACUGAGACACUAGGGACACAGACACUGGGAGACAUGGGGACACUGAAACAUUUGGGGACACUAAGACACUAGGAGACUAGGGGAAACUGUCUGGGAGACAGAUACUUGGGGAGACAUGGGGACAGUUGUGGGCAUAGACAUGGGGACAUUGGGACACAUGGGGACACUAGGCACACAGAGACAUGGGACACAGACACUGGGAGACUUAGGGACACUGAGACACUAGGGACACUGGCUGGGGGACAUAGUGUCUCCGUGUCCCAAUGUCUCCCAAUGUCCCUAUGUCUCACAGCGUCCCCAUGUGUCUCAGCAUCCCCAGGUGUCCCCUAGUGUCUCAGUGUCCCCAUGUUUUCCAGUGUCCCCAAGUGUCUGUGUCCCCAGGUCUCACAGUGCCUGUGUCCCCAUGUGUCCUAGUGUCUCAGUGUCCCCUAGUGUCUGUGUUCCCAUGUGUCCCCUAGUGUCUGUGUCCCCAUGUCCCCAAGUGUCUCAGUGUCCCCUAGUGUCUCAGUGUCCCCAUGUUUUGCAGUGUCCCCAAGUGUCUCAGUGUUCCCAGGUCUCCCAGUGUCUGUGUCCUAGUGUCUCAGUGUCCCCUAGUGUAUGUGUCAUCAUGUGUCCCCUAGUGUCUGUGUCCCUUUGUGUCUCAGUGUCCCCAUGUGUCCCCUAGUGUCUCAGUGUCCCCAUGUGUCCCUGCUGCCUUUCCCC